rnacentral:rRNA from 1 species
CGCGUGAGUAACCUGCCUUGGAGUGGGGAAUAACAGCUGGAAACAGCUGCUAAUACCGCAUAAUAUAUCUGGGUCGCAUGGCUCUGGAUAUCAAAGAUUUAUCGCUCUGAGAUGGACUCGCGUCUGAUUAGCUGGUUGGCGGGGUAACGGCCCACCAAGGCGACGAUCAGUAGCCGGACUGAGAGGUUGGCCGGCCACAUUGGGACUGAGACACGGCCCAGACUCCUACGGAAGGCAGCAG